AUGAUCCUCCAGGUACUUCAUGGCAGCGCCGUGGACAACAUCACCAUAACCACAUUGAUGGUCCAAGCCCCAACUCACAACAUCAUUGAUAUUCUGAAACGUCUUACUGGGCUGGAUAUGGCAUUAUGGCUGGGGCGAGUUUGGUGCGCUUCCUUUGUGCUUUGUCCUACUUGGAUCAUAUAUGCUUCUGUAAGAACACUGAUUCAGGUGAGCUGCCACCUCUUCCCACAUGUUCGUGCUAAUUAUCAAUCAAAGGCAACAGGAAGGCACGACGGUGUCCUGAGAGAUAAGUUGAUCAAUGUUGGCCCUCUGAAAGAUUUUUCAUAUGGUUUAAGAGUCAAUGCAGAUGCCAAUGCAACAGGAAAUGCAAAGGAAAGCAAUUAUGAGUUGUACAGUCAUGAGUCAUACCAGGCAAGCAGCGGCGGCGCCGGACUGGUCACCCCCGCGACACCAUUCUUCCUUCAGGCCGAGCCGUCGGGUGCGGCGAGCCGCACUUCCUACCUAGUAAUCAAUAUACAUACCAUCCGCGCCCCAUCCUUCCGUGUCCCGGAACCCAACCCCCAAAUCGCUAGCGCCGCCUCCAUCGUCGUGAUGGAUUCCUCCAAGGUCGAGACUGCCGAGAAGCCCUCCGGCUCGGUGGACCAUCCCUGCGUGGAGCGGCUCCGUCACCGGCGACUCCUCGCCUUCCUACGGGAUCAAGGCUUCCAUGGCGCCUACGCCGAGGUGACGCGGAAGACGGGCGUGCACAUGAGCCUGCGCCACCUGCGCGGCCUCGUGGAGCGGGGCCGCUGGGCGGACGCCAUCGCCUACUUGGAGCUCCACCUGCCGCCGCCGCCCCGCCCGCGGAGCUCCAACGCCGACCUCCUCCACGCCUUCCUCGUCACGCACCGCCGCUUCGCCGACGCCGUCGCCGGCCACGUCGACCCCAGCGCCCUGCCCGGCUCCUACUUCGAGCUGUGCCAUAGCGGAGACGUCGGCCACGGCGAGCUGAGGCUCCGCUCCAUCACCUUCCUCGUGCUCGGCUUCCCCCAUAUCAGGGCCGACAUGGACUGGGAGAGUGUGAGGAGCAAAGCAUCGUUUGUUGUCUGGAGGUUGGCCACAGCUACCCCGGAGCUGCAAGGCCGCAUCUCACUGCCGACCGCCGCGCCGCACCAGCUACUUCCCGUUGCUCCUCCCGGUUUGUCCCGAGGGAGGGGUCACGUCAAGAAUAAGAAACAAGAAGGCUCCCGGCCGCGACCAAAAGCUAUCAUCAGGGCCAUGAAGAGCCACCUCAUUGCGCCUGCGGAUAAAGAUAAAGUGUCUGAUGAAAAAGCACGUGAAUCGCUGGCGGAUAUCCUUGAUGAAACUUUAAAGGCUGGCAUAAUUCCCAUGGCACGUUAUCCAGUAGGGAACCAAGAUGAUGGCCUCGUUCGCCCGCAGCAACCGCGCGCGCACCUCGCCCCAACCUGCCCAACCGCUGCCAGCCCAACCACGGCCAUGUCGACGGCACUGGAUUCCACGGCGGCCCACAGCCCCCACCUCUCUCAGUCGCUAGCCAAGCUAGCCGGCCAGCAGAUUACAAGCUCGUGCUCGUGCUGCAGCUCGAGCGGGAGCUGGGGAUGGGCCUGGGUGGACGGGGCAAAACGGCGUCGCUACUCCGGCGAGCUUCCCUCCGCCGCCCGUCUGGCCCUUCUCUCCUCCUCCUACCUCCUCCCUCCCGAGCUGCGCUCCACCAUAAACGCCGACGCCCUGCUCCCAGCCUCUGCACAGUCCACAAGCUUGCACAGGUGCUGGGGCGACGAGCCCGUGGCGGAGCAGUGGCGGCAUGAUGUACCACGGUCAUCCGCCACCGCGAAGAGCUCGGGGCCGCGCACGCCGCGCUCACCGGCUCGCUCCUGCCCAUCUCCUCCUUGUCUGCGCGUCCGCCCUACCGGGGCUCACGCUCCCUGCCACUACAUCCCGGCGGACGGCAGGGCCAGGGCGCCGCCGUGCCGGUCGAGCUCGAGCUGCUUCGGCAGUAGUGCUGCUGGGGUUGAUUGCUUUUUUUAUUUUAGAUCAGGGGUGUCAAUUCGUCAGCACUUGGCUACCUGCUGCAGGAGUGUCUGGCGCUACACCCUUGCAGUUGCAGAAAGUGUUGUAAGUCCUUGGGAUCUCACCAGCAGAGAUAAAUCCAGAUGCUCCAGGCUGCCAGCACAUAUCUGCUACUUUGACAGCUGCAAAAAUGUUAGGGGCCUCGUCACCGGCAAAUGCAGCAGGUGCUCCAACCUGCCAGCCCAUAUCUGCUAUUUUGGAAGGUGCAAAAAUGUUUGGGACCUCGUCACUGACAAGUGCAGCAGGUGCUCCACCCGGCCAGCCGAUAUCUGCUACUUUGAAAGAAGUAAAAAUGUCUGGGGCCUCGUCACCGACAAACGCAGCAGGGUUUUCACUGGUUCUCACACCAAGAGAAAGGAUACGAGCGAUGAAGCGACUACGACCGUCGAGGAAGUGAAGCGGCAGCGGACCACAGCGGCAUUUGGUGAAGCAAGUCCGUAA
rnacentral:rRNA from 1 species